UCAGCAAAUAGCUUCAGCGAUAGUGCUAUGAGACGAUCACUCAAUAGCCAAUCAGAGAUCUCGACACAGCACCACACACAAAGUAGAGCCAGUCAGAACUCUGCGCCACUCAACACACCUAAUUUAAUGACGUCGACCACUUUACUUAAUUACACGCAACGAAAAGGAAGUAAACGCUUAAUUAAAAAAGACGAAUUGUUUAAUUUACAAGAAAAAGCAAGUAUCGCUACAGCAAAGUUUCAACAAGACGCUCGGCUGAGGCGAGAGCGGCAUAUCCAUGUUGGGGAAAGUGAGUGACCACCUCUUCUGGAAAUAAUCCGGACUCCUUCAGGCCCUUGGGCGGUGAGAGCUGAAACACAAGUGUCACCUGACCAUACUGUCUUUUUUCACGUUAGGUUAUGUGUAAUGUAGCUGGCACAGUGCAACAGUACAAAAAGAGGUUUGUUUUGCAGUGACUGGCUUUCUGUAAAGUCUGAGUCUCGUGGCGAGUACGGCAUGUGUCAGCCUUUCUCCCCCACAAUUGUUCCUGCAUGCCUGCAGUGAGAGUGAGGGUGGGGGGCGUGAGGAAAUCUUGACUUUUUUGUUUUGUUUUGAAGGGGGGAGUUAUUUUGAUUGUCUUUACCUAUCAGGUGUAAAUUUCCAGGCACUCAGUUCAUUUUGGGCCUGCUCCAGUUUGUCUUUAGUCUGUUCCAGUUCACCCUUCAUUUU